rnacentral:lncRNA from 1 species
AGCAUAUAAGCAUCAUAAAGAUAUGAUAUCAUCCUAAAUUUGAAUUUAAAACUCUCAAGGAUUUAAGUUUGGAAUUGCAAUGAAAAUAUGUAUUUAAAUCAUACAUAUUUUCAUUGUGAUUCCAAAAUAUCCUUUUCCAUGGCAGUCUUGUCCUAUGUUAUUUGGGGGUUAAGGAUGUCCUAUGUUAUUUGGGGGGACACACUAAAUUUUAUUUAUGUAGAUAAAUUUUUAUAUUAUUCAAAUAAUUCAAUGGAGAAUUCUAUUAUUUAUAUUGAAAGUGUAUAUAUAUUACAUCUAUAAAUUC